ensembl:Mt_tRNA
CAAAGUGUAGCUUAAAACAAAGCACCCGGCCUACACCCGGAAGAUCUCAAAAUAAUUGAUCACUUUGA